rnacentral:misc_RNA from 1 species
CAUUACCGGUAUAGCAGGAUUUUGGUCUUUUUCUCCUCUUUAUUGCUGUUUUUGUUGGAUGUUAUCUAGCGUAUAGCGACUGAUGUAUGCAGUAUAACGGGGCCUUCUUAGUUCUUCGUGUAUUCCUUUAAUAGAAGUAUCAUCAACCUAUGACUAAUGAAACAUAUUCAGGUUUCGACACUCACAUUUGUCCUUUCGUGAGUUGCGACUCAUAUGGCAAUUCAGUGAGAGCUGUGCACGUCUGCCCGGCUUAUUGAUCUUCCAUUUUCAUCUGACAAAUACUUGGUAUUUAAGUAUUCUUUUACAAGACAGAGAACCAAAAAAAUUUAAUGGCAAUUAUACCAUUUCGUACUUUUGUUAUUUUAUCUAUGGUUAAUCAAACAAAAGCUGAAUCCAAAUGAGAAGCGUUGUAAAACUUGAUGAGUUGAAUAAAGCUGCAACAACAUGCAGUUGAAGUGUAGAGAAAGAGGAAACACAUCAGCAACCAGCGUUCUUGGCUGGUCGAUGCAAUGCAACCUCUUCUUUCAACCGACUUGUCGUUGGUCAGAAUAACUGAUCCUUUUGGUGGAGUUGUCAUCUGUCAAUUUCGGAGGUACCUGCAGGUCAUUUGUUGUAGGCAUUGGUAGCUUAGCUAUGGGAAUUUAUCUGUGUCGUGUUAGUCUUAUUCUUGAUGUAGUUAUGGUAGUGAUGAUGGCUGCAGGAUUAGUAUUUUGACGUUAAGAUGCAGAUCAGAGUGAAUCAUGAAAAGUUGCUUAUUAUCUUCAUAUGAUUUAUCUUCU